UGGCAGUUUGAACCACAGAAUCCAUUCCCCUUAGAAAAGACUUAAAGCAGCUUAGAACUUUGCCUAAAAUGUAAAUAUGGUUCUGAAACUGAGUUAUACAAGCCCUUCAGUCUAGAAGCAUAAAAACUGACAUCUUUCAUUUGUCUGGAUUCGAUCUAUGAUCAUUGUACUAUUUUUAGUUGGGCUGAUUCUGUGCUGUGGUGAGAGCGGAAGCCAGACGUAAAGUUUCUCAGAGACGCAGAUUUCACUAAGAUAAGAACGGAGCUGUGUCGACACCAACGUCUCUUCUCUCCACGUCUCAGUCUGAGGAUUUCCUGCUUGCUUAUGCUCAUAUUCUGAGGAGUUUGGGUUCUGAGAAACUGUAAUUGUUGCUAAGGACUUGCUGUUAAGUCACUAAACUACAAAGCUGCUGUGAUCCUUCCAAAACAAGGUGUUUGUCCGUCUCCCAAUGCUUCCUCACUUCUCGGACCAUUGGUUCCUACUGAAUAAUGUUAAAAUGAUAAUAAAAAACCCUCAAAUCAGCUGCAGAUUCAUGAACAUUGGCGGCACAUACAGUACUUGUUAGUAGGAUCACUUCGCUGUAGCUCUGGUCUGAGCAAACAUCAGCCAUAACGGGGUAAACCACAGCUCUGAUGCUCUCUGCUGCACAAACACAAGCCGUUCAGAACCCUGCUGUUGCUACAGCAGCGAAGCAAAUUGCAGAGAUGCUUUCGGUGAUGGAUUCCGUGGACCAAUCCUGCGCUGUGAACGCCAUGUAAGAGGCAGCCUGAUUAAGAUGCAGAGUGCAGAGGCCAGACAGUCGCAGUGACGUAGCGCUCUAACAGCUCGGAGCUAAAAAAAGAACAGCGCAGGAAAUGUCACAGGAUGCGUGCAUGCAUCGACCGGCGCUGUCCUGCCUGCGAUGGAGGCAGAUAAACUGUGGGACCGAGCAGAGAAGUGAAGCUCUGUCGAAAUCUGGCUGCUGAGUGGCUUCUCUGGAAAGGAGGAGGAAGUGGUCGUGUGCUGCAGCUCUUUGUGCUGUCAUCUGAUGAUCACAUGACAAACCGCCGUGAACACAUGACUGCAUCUCCUCUCACGAUCCCGACGGUGGGACUGAAGCGUUUCAGCACAGCAGAGACGCUGCUGGCUGUGAAUGUGAAUGAGUAAGAGAGAGUGUGUGUGUGUGUGUGUGUGUGUCUGGCAGCAGCAGAAGAGCUGGCAGAGACAGGAAAUGAUGCAAAGAUGCCGGCGGGCAGCAGAUAGGACGAGUCUAUUUUAAGACUGUGCUACAAAAGGACAGAUCUCUCUGAUACAUCUGGCCUUGUAUGACUGUGUGUGUGUGUGUGUGUGUGUGUGUGUGUGUGUGUGUGUACAUUCUGCACAUAUCGUGACUAUUUUGGCUGAAUGUUGUUUUUUGCCUUAUUUUUUUUGCCAUUUUAUGAUUCGCUUUACCCUUUUUUUUGGUCAUUUUGUGUAAUUUAUUGUCUCAUUUUUGUCAUCGCUGUCCAUUAUUUUGCUGCUUUGUAACGUUUUGUCUGAUAUUUUGUCUCAUAUUCAUUUGGUUUUGUGUUGUUAGCCUCAUUUUUUGUCAUUUUCUGUCUCGUUUUUGUAACAUUUUCUCUUGUUUCUGGUCUGACUUUUGUCGUCUUGAUCAUAAAGUAAAACACUACAUCAUUCAGUUUCGGAUACACCCCCUGUCAAAAGUUUUAGGACAGGUUCUAAUUCAUUUGAAUGAGAAAGCGUUUUUGACAGGGGGUGCACCUGAGACUAAACGUUCUGCGCCUUUUUAUAGACACUCUGCAAGUUGUCAUGUGUAAAUGAUAAACUGAGGCAUACUAUUACUGAAACUGAAUUUAUUUUUCUUUAAAAAACUUCAGUUUGUUCAUGAUGUUUAACAAAAAGGUAAUUCCUAAAAUGUGGGCGCCUUCAGAAUGUACUUUUUUGGACUAAAACAAAGGAAAACAAUGGAGUUGUGGUUAUUUAUAGGUUGUUAUGCUCUGAUUUUACUGGUCGCUGGAAAUCAAAUUGUGUUGAAUGUGGAACCUGAACUAGUCUAACUGGUAAAUCCAGGAAUUUCUGCAUGUGUGUGAGUGUGUGUGUGCGUGACGUGAUAGACAGGCUAAUGCUUCAAGAGUUGUUAAAGUCCGCAGGUAAUUUGUCUCCUUUUACCCCAAUCAAAUAAACACAUAAUCCCUC